rnacentral:rRNA from 1 species
UACGGGGGGGGUAAGCGUUGUUCGGAAUCACUGGGCUUAAAGGGCGCGUAGGCGGGCUGCCGAGUCCGGGGUGAAAUCCUCCCGCUCAACGGGAGAACGGCCCCGGGUACUGGCGGCCUCGAGGCGGGUAGGGGCGUGCGGAACACUGGGUGGAGCGGUGAAAUGCGUUGAUAUCCUAAGGAACACCCGUGGCGAAAGCGGCUCACUGGGUCUCUUCUGACGCUGAGGCACGAAAGCCAGGGUAGCGAACGGG